rnacentral:rRNA from 1 species
GUGUCAGCAGCCGCGGUAAUACAGAGGGUGCGAGCGUUAAUCGGAAUUACUGGGCGUAAAGGGUGCGUAGGUGGUUUGAUAAGUCAGAUGUGAAAUCCCCGGGCUUAACCUGGGAAUUGCAUUUGAUACUGUCAGACUAGAGUGUGAUAGAGGUAAGCGGAAUUCCCGGUGUAGCGGUGAAAUGCGUAGAUAUCGGGAGGAACAUCAGUGGCGAAGGCGGCUUACUGGAUCAACACUGACACUGAGGCACGAAAGCGUGGGUAGCAAACAGGAUUAGAUACCCUGGUAGUCC